GACGAACGCUGGCGGCGUGCCUAAUACAUGCAAGUCGAACGCUUUUUCUUUCACCGGAGCUUGCUCCACCGAAAGAAAAAGAGUGGCGAACGGGUGAGUAACACGUGGGUAACCUGCCCAUCAGAAGGGGAUAACACUUGGAAACAGGUGCUAAUACCGUAUAACACUAUUUUCCGCAUGGAAGAAAGUUGAAAGGCGCUUUUGCGUCACUGAUGGAUGGACCCGCGGUGCAUUAGCUAGUUGGUGAGGUAACGGCUCACCAAGGCAACGAUGCAUAGCCGACCUGAGAGGGUGAUCGGCACACUGGGACUGAGACACGGCCCAGACUCCUACGGGAGGCAGCAGUAGGGAAUCUUCGGCAAUGGACGAAAGUCUGACCGAGCAACGCCGCGUGAGUGAAGAAGGUUUUCGGAUCGUAAAACUCUGUUGUUAGAGAAGAACAGGGAUGAGAGUAAAAUGUUCAUCCCUUGACGGUAUCUAACCAGAAAGCCACGGCUAACUACGUGCCAGCCGCCGCGGUAA
rnacentral:rRNA from 1 species